UGGGUACAAGUAGCUUAAUUGCAUACCAGUUUUUUCUUCUCACUCUUCCCCAUCUCCUGCCAGCCUUCCCUCCUCCUGCCAGUUGGGCUAUCUGCCUUAGUGCCAACUGCUGUUCCCUGGAAUCCUUGAGUCAAGAAGGCAGCAGGACGGUAUACAACAGCCCAGCUGCAGGAAUAGCCUGGUAGAGAGAGACGCAGGAGGACAGGCAUCGUGCAGAAGGAAAAUUUACAAUCACGGGCCUGGGCCUCCUUCUUAUUACAUUUUACACAGAGCAAGCUAGAUUGAGUUACAGCUGAGUUCCCAUCUGCUUUACCGGCACUGUUUCCAGACCCAAGGAUCGCAGGAUGGAUUAAUUUCAAGAAAAAAACCAAAGCUGACUCGGGAGAUUGGAAGAGGAAACAGAACCGUCUUGCACCUCUACUUGAGUAUAGAUUGAAGCUCACCCAAGUUGUGCAACAUCUGUUGGGAAUCAGCAUGGAGCAGCCCGAUGUGAUUGCUGAAGAAGCACUGUGACGGGCGCAGGAAGCAUCUCCCGCACAACUUACAGGCCUGUGCCCUUCCUGGGGUAUCUUGUGGCCUGUGGA